rnacentral:rRNA from 1 species
ACUCCUACGGGAGGCAGCAGUGGGGAAUUUUGGACAAUGGGCGAAAGCCUGAUCCAGCAAUGCCGCGUGUGUGAAGAAGGCCUUCGGGUUGUAAAGCACUUUUGUCCGGAAAGAAAUCCUUGGCUCUAAUACAGUCGGGGGAUGACGGUACCGGAAGAAUAAGCACCGGCUAACUACGUGCCAGCAGCCGCGGUAAUACGUAGGGUGCGAGCGUUAAUCGGAAUUACUGGGCGUAAAGCGUGCGCAGGCGGUUUGCUAAGACCGAUGUGAAAUCCCCGGGCUCAACCUGGGAACUGCAUUGGUGACUGGCAGGCGAGAGUAUGGCAGAGGGGGGUAGAAUUCCACGUGUAGCAGUGAAAUGCGUAGAGAUGUGGAGGAAUACCGAUGGCGAAGGCAGCCCCCUGGGCCAAUACUGACGCUCAUGCACGAAAGCGUGGGGAGCAAACAGGAUGAGAUACCCCUGUAGUCCCA